rnacentral:rRNA from 1 species
GUGCCAGCCGCCGCGGUAAGACAGAGGUGCCAAGCGUUAGGCGGAAUCACUGGGCUUAAAGCGUGUGUAGGCGGAUCGUUAAGUACCUUGUGAAAUCCCACGGCUUAACCGUGGAACGGCUGGGUAUACUGGCGAUCUUGAGCCACCUAGGGGCGAGCGGAACAAAUGGUGGAGCGGUGAAAUGCGUAGAUAUCAUUUGGAACGCCAACGGUGAAAACAGCUCGCUGGGGGUGUGCUGACGCUGAGACACGAAAGCCAGGGGAGCGAACGGGAUUAGAUACCCUCGUAGUCC